GACGAACGCUGGCGGCGUGCUUAACACAUGCAAGUCGAACGGAAAGGCCCUGCUUUUGUGGGGUUCUCGAUUGGCGAACGGGUGAGUAACACGUGAGUAACCUGCCCUUGACUUUGGGAUAACUUCAGGAAACUGGGGCUAAUAUCGGAUAGGAUCUCCUGCUGCAUGGUGGGGGUUGGAAAGUUUCGGCGGUUGGGGAUGGACUCGCGGCUUAUCGGCUUGUUGGUGGGGUAGUGGCUUACCCAGGCUUUGACGGGUAGCCGGCCUGAGAGGGUGAACGGCCACAUUGGGACUAAGAUAGGGAGCAGACUCGUACGGGAGGCAAUAGUGGGGAGUAUUGCACAGUGGGCGGACGCCUGAUGCAGAGACGCCGGGUGCGGGAUGACGGCCUUCGGGUUGUAAACCGCUUUCGCCUGUGACGAAGCGGGAGUGACGGUAAUGGGUAAAGAAGCACCGGCUAACUACGUG
rnacentral:rRNA from 1 species